rnacentral:lncRNA from 1 species
AUGCUCAGUCACAGAAAUUGUAAGAAAGCUCUACAGGUAAAGGUCCAACAGCGCCCUCUACUGGUGCAAAGAGUCAGGACAUGCUCAGUCACACUAAAAUGCAGAAGACCAGUCAGUGAGCAGACCGUGUGGAGCCGCAUGGACUUUCUGUGUGUUUCCCUAAUGAUGUGUGCAUUCUUGAGGAAAUACUACAGUCCAGUAUCUCCAAGCCUUUUACCAUCACUCACCUCAUCUCCCUAUAAUCCGGCCUUGGUUUGGCCGCCCCAUGGGUCGCCUCUACCAACUACUCAACAAUCACCUAAUGGGUCGCCUCUACCAACUACUCAACAAUCACCUCCUUGGACGCCUCACACAUCUCCUCAGCAGUUUUGGCCUUGGUCGGUUUCACCGUCUCCAACAACUCAACAGGAUCCGAUGUUACACCCACCAUCUUUAUCUCCCGGUGCUCCUGCUCUGCUGGAUGAAACCCAUCCAUCAUCUCUGGCUCCUUAUGACGCACAAGAUCUGACUGUCAUCCAGUCAGAUAGAGUGUUGUCUAAUGGCUUUAUAGACAAUGUAAAUACUAUCAUCCUACACCUGCUCAACUCAGUGUUGUAUAAAUAUCUGGAGGAAAUCUGUUACGGUUGUCAGAUCAAUCACCCCAGCCAGAAACAGCAUGACUGUGUGUGGGGGAUCCCGGAAUAUUUCUACGAUACCAACUUUGAUCAGCUUACAGAGAGACUGUGGAAUGAUCGAUUUAUUUCGGCCAUUCAAACAUUCUUAACUACAAAGGGAAUCUUUGUUGAUGAUACGAGAAUCCAAGGAGCUGCUGAGGCUAUACUAUACGAACUGAAAUCGGUAGUGAGGAUCACAGACAAAAUCACCAAGAUGUAUGACACAAAGAUCGGUGACGACUAUAUAAAAACAGUGCAACUGCGUGUUAUUAGCGACUAUUGGAAGGGGGAAGAUCAUUGUGAUGGGCUGUAACAACAACUACGGGAUGUUAAAUGACAUGACUUGUAUAUAUAUAUUUUUUUUCUUUUCUUAUCCUUUUUUUUUAUUAUUAACACUUUCUUCAACGUGUGUGUGUGUUUAAUUUGUAUUUCUAAGAUGUUUGACAUUUCAUUUGGGUCCAA